GGAGGGUGCAAGCGUUAAUCGGAAUUACUGGGCGUAAAGCGCACGCAGGCGGUUGGAUAAGUUAGAUGUGAAAGCCCCGGGCUCAACCUGGGAAUUGCAUUUAAAACUGUCCAGCUAGAGUCUUGUAGAGGGGGGUAGAAUUCCAGGUGUAGCGGUGAAAUGCGUAGAGAUCUGGAGGAAUACCGGUGGCGAAGGCGGCCCCCUGGACAAAGACUGACGCUCAGGUGCGAAAGCGUGGGGAGCAAACAGGAUUAGAUACCCUGGUAGUCCACGCCGUAAACGAUGUCGAUUUGGAGGCUGUGUCCUUGAGACGUGGCUUCCGGAGCUAACGCGUUAAAUCGACCGCCUGGGGAGUACGGCCGCAAG
rnacentral:rRNA from 1 species